rnacentral:lncRNA from 10 species
AAUCCAUUCAAGUUUAUUUUAUUCCAGGAACACAAAAAUACAAAUUUCAUUUGCAAUUAAAGAAAAACAUAAAUCGAUACAUAUGAUUGAUGUAUAUACACAUUUAAUGUAUUUUUAAAUAUACAUUUUUCAAAAAUAGAAAUUUUUCUAGGACAAAUACUUAAAAUAUCACUGAAAAUAGUGUUAUUAGCUAAUAACUUCCUAAUAACUCUGGUAUUAUAUAAGAAACCAAAAUUAAAAUUUCAGAUAAGCUUAGAAACUAAAAAAUUUAAAAAUAUUAUUCUGUUCUCCAUAUGUUCAUAUUUAAUAUUAUUUCUUGUUUUCAUUCUUCUUCAGUGUUGCUCUACUAAAAUAUCACAUACAAUAGGUACUUUGGAUUUCCGCUCUUAUUACUCAAAAUUGUACACAUUUUCUCAUGCUCUUAAUUUAGUUAUGCUACUUUUCUUUACUCUUGGAAUUUUCACACUUGUGUUCACUCUCUUUUGAGUUCUCAUAGUAUCAAAUAAGCUUUUUUCCCUCUUUCUGAUUUGAAGGUUCAUCUUCUCAUAAUUAUUUUGUCCGCUCAGUUUCUUUUCAUUCUCAGUUAAGUGCCUCUCAUCUGGCUUUUCAUUUGUAAGGUUUCCUUUCAUCUUAAGCCAGUCUUUCAUUUAUAUUUUGAUUCUGUUUUGUGGAGGACAUACUUCCCUGAAUUUUACGGAAGAGGCCAAAAGAUUUGUUCAAGUUUUUACCUGAUACAUUGGAUUAAAUUAUCUAAUGUACACACCCUUAAUUUAAGUCUAGGGGCGACUGUCUUCUCUUGAUUUUGAAUAGUAUUAUUUUUCUUAACAUCCAAGUCCAUCUUCAUCUAUUUGUAUAAGAUCAAUAAAAAUAUAUUUGUCCAGAACCCUGCUUUGGUGGAGUUACUUCUUUCUAAGUAGUAGAGGUAGCAGUUGAGACAUGAGCUGGGUUCUGGGUCAGUUUAGGGGGCUGGGCGACAUUCCUCCUUUUGGUCUGUAUGACUGAAUGAAUGCAGUUCUUGCUGUCUCGCUCCUCUCCUUAACACAUUGAGCCAUUGCAGCAGAUGAGAAGGAAUAAUCUUGAUCUGCCAUUCAGGUGGAACACAUGUUCUCUCCAACCACACCCAUAGGUUGUACCCACACUCGGCCAGAACGUAUCCUGUCAAUUGUAUGGAGAUGUAUCUAUCUAUCUAGAUAGAUAUCUACUUUGGUUUAUGCUCUCUGGUUGGCCGUAAAUUAUCUCCUUAAAGUGAAUAUCAAAAGAGAGCUUGGUGAUGGCAGUGUUAUAAAAUCCUCACACCCACACCCACACCCAGAGGAAUUUGUAGAUUCUGGGAUUCUAAUUCAGAUACCAAACUAUAUAAAAGGGGAAUUGGUCAUUGAGGGUUGCUAGGCUCUUUGUUGAGCAUAUUUGCUCUUUUCAUGACUUCAACAUUAUUUUAAAAAUCUAACCUUUUUCUCAGUCUGCUGCAAGAUGAUUUGAUUGGAAUGCAUAAGCACUAAUUCUCCCCUAAGAUUUGUACAAUAUAUUUGCUCUGACAAGCCAUAGCCAGCAACUCACUUCACAGCAAUUUAUAGCAUUU